AAUCUGGACUGGACCUUGCGUCACCGCCGAGCUGGCUCCGCGGCCGUUACAACUCUGAGCUUCCUCUUGGACUUUCGGGGCGGUUUUCCCAGGCGCGCUGGAGCUGGGUGAUGGAUACCUGAGGGUGGAGAUGGCUCUCCUUUAAGAGCUCCCUUCUUAUAUAAAUUAAAAAAAAAAAAAUUAAACCCACUCUCAGGACGAGAGAGCCGAGGACAAGGGGGAUCCGUUUGGACGUGACCGUCAUCGUCCAGCUGGUCACCUUUCUCCUCUCAUGUGCCUUUGUUCUUCGGGUCCAAGCUAGAGAGAGUGUAGAGAAUGACCACCUGGGUUCUGAUAAACUCUAUUUAGACUUUCCUAUCCACACACACGUAGAAAACUUUAGAUUGGGGCAUUACGUGGGUUGAGCCAGAACCCAGAUCCAAAAGCGCUCACCCGGGACUGGGACGGGUCCUGACUCCAUCCUUGCUGCUGCUGCCGCUGCUGCUGCCCCUCCUCCCUCUCCUCCACCACCACCUCCUCCUCCUGCUCCACUUCCUUUUUUUUGUUGUUUUGUUUUGCUUUUAAUUUGUUGCUGUUGUUGUUUUAAAUGUAACAUGGACUUCCCCGCCCCCUCAUUUUUCCC
rnacentral:lncRNA from 10 species